rnacentral:lncRNA from 1 species
CUCUUCCCGCGGCGCCGCCCGCGUUGGCGACGCGGUGCCCGAUGCCGGAGUGAAGCCAGCGGUUCACUGCUGUGGCGCCGCCUGCCGGAAGGGCCGGAAAGCGCACCCGGAGCCGACCCGCCGCCGCGCUGCCAGAAAUGAGAAAAUGGAACCGAGGGAGCUUGUGAAAGAGGAGAUCCUUGAGACAAAGCGCAGUGCCAGCCAGAAGCUCAGCCUCGGAUACCUGGCCGUCAGACAGAACAUGGGCAUGAAGACGAGAGCAGAGACAGACCCUACAUUGCACCAAGGCCACGUCAGCUAUGCAGGAGACAGUGGACCUGCAAAUGCAACAAGAAACAGGAAGCUCUUCUUUAACGUCCGUUGUUGCCUUCGUCCUCCCAGCGGCUUCUCCUGCAAGAAGAUGUGGAUGAAGAUCAAGUGAGCACCAGGCUGCCGCCAUAUGUGCAGGAACACCUGCAGAAUAAAAAGUCCUGUUCACCAGAGAUGUACCGCUCCUCUUUGCACCCCUGGAAGCAGGCUGGAGGGGAUUGGGCUCUGGGUGUUGCACCCCACCUGAGGGAGAAUGUACGCACUUUCAGAGGGCAGCCCCCAGCCAAGCAGCACCACCCUGGGAAGCCUCAGCUUCAGCCAAGAGCUGGGGGACAAACAGGGGCUCAAGUGCUGAGCAGAGCCCAGGGAACAGAGAACUGGCUUGGGAGCACUGGGGGGUUCCACCACCUGCCAGGAAGCACCCACACUGCGCUUACCAGAACAGAGAGCUUCACGCUGUUGGGCAGCUUCUGGCAUUUCUUGCUCACAACCUCCAGCAGAAGCCAGCUGCAUCACUGCACCUUCCCUGCCGGUGGAGGAGGGCAGGCAAGGUGCAGCUGCCCCCAGGAUGCCGUGUCCCCAGGCACCCCCUACCCCCACGGGAGCAGGGAGGUGCCCCACAGCAGGAAGCAGCACCAGGACCCCAAGUCCUGUUAGGAAGGAAGUGCUGCUGCACCAACAGCCCUGCACCACUGCUCCCCAUACCUCUC